GUUAGGUCUCUCCUGGAUGGAGACACAAAGGGAACAGUCAGGCAUAUAUAUGCAUAAUAGUCUAUAAGUGGCUAGGUUUGCCACAUGUACAAAUACACCAGUGUCCUGGCUCCCUGGUGGUCCGAUGGGCUUCCUAUCCCGUCUGCCGGGAAUGAGCUGCAGCCCAUGUGAUGGAGAAAUCGCGAUCCAAAAAAUUCAGAGCAUUGCCGUGGUAACCCAUUGCAAUGCUCUGACUUGCUGGAGGUUAUGAGACACUUUGCAGACUGUAGGCGCUCUCCUCCCAGGGCAGACUGCUUGGAGGGACCUCUCACCCUA